GUUGACCUCGGAUCAGGUAGGAAUACCCGCUGAACUUAAGCAUAUCAAUAAGCGGAGGAAAAGAAACCAACAGGGAUUGCCCUAGUAACGGCGAGUGAAGCGGCAACAGCUCAAAUUUGAAAUCUGGCCUCGGCCCGAGUUGUAAUUUGCAGAGGAUGCUUUUGGCGCGGUGCCUUCCGAGUUCCCUGGAACGGGACGCCACAGAGGGUGAGAGCCCCGUAUGGUUGGACACCAAGCCUGUGUAAAGCUCCUUCGACGAGUCGAGUAGUUUGGGAAUGCUGCUCAAAAUGGGAGGUAAAUCUCUUCUAAAGCUAAAUACCGGCCAGAGACCGAUAGCGCACAAGUAGAGUGAUCGAAAGAUGAAAAGCACCUUGAAAAGGGGGUUAAACAGUACGUGAAAUUGUUGAAAGGGAAGCGCUUGUGACCAGACUUGCGCCGGGCGGCUCAUCCGGGGUUCUCCCCGGUGCACUCCGCCCGGCUCAGGCCAGCAUCGGUUCUCGUGGGGGGAUAAGACCGGUGGGAACGUAGCACCCUCCGGGGUGUGUUAUAGCCCGCCGGACGAUACCCCCGUGGGGACCGAGGUUCGCGCUCCGCAAGGAUGCUGGCGUAAUGGUCAUCAGCGACCCGUCUUGAAACACGGACCAAGGAGUCGUCCAUUAUAGCGAGCGUUUGGGUGUAAAACCCGCACGCGUAAUGAAAGUGAAAUUAGGUGAGAGCUUCGGCGCAUCAUCGACCGAUCCUGAUGUUCUCGGAUGGAUUUGAGUAAGAGUUAUAACGGACGGACCCGAAAGACAGUGAACUAUGCUUGUAUAGGGUGAAGCCAGAGGAAACUCUGGUGGAGGCUCGCAGCGGUUCUGACGUGCAAAUCGAUCGUCAAAUAUGAGCAUGGGGGCGAAAGAC
rnacentral:rRNA from 1 species